CUGUCUAGUUUUUAUGUGAAGAUAUUUCCUUUUCCACCAUAGUCCUCAAAGUGCUCCAAAUGUCCACUUGCAGAUUCUACGAAAAGAAAGUUUCAAAACUGCUCAAUCAAAAGAAAUGUUUAUCUCUGUGAGAUGAAUGCACACAUCACAAAGUUGUUUCUCAGAUUACUUCUGUCUAGAUUUUAUGUGAACAUAUUUCCUAGUCUACCAUAGGCCGCAAAGUAGGCUGCAAAGUACUCCAAAUGUCCACUUGCAGAUUCUAUAAAAAGAGGGUUUCCAAACUGCUCAAUCAAAAGAAAGUUUCAACUCUGUGAGAUGAACGUGCCCAUCACAAAGUUUUUCAGAAUUCUUCUGUCUACUUUUUAUGGGAAGAUAUUUCCUUUUUCACCAUAAGCCUCAAAGUGCUCGAAAUGUCCACUUGC
rnacentral:lncRNA from 1 species